rnacentral:rRNA from 1 species
UACAGAGGGUGCGAGCGUUGUCCGGAAUCACUGGGCGUAAAGGGCGCGUAGGUGGCGACCCAAGUCGAUGGUGAAAGCUCGCCGCUCAACGGCGAGUCGGCCACCGAUACUGGGUUGCUGGAGCACUGUAGAGGCAGAUGGAAUUCCGGGUGUAGCGGUGGAAUGCGUAGAGAGUCCGGAAGAACACCGGUGGCGAAGGCGGUUCUCUGGGCAUGUCCUGGACGCUGAGGAGCGAAAGUGUGGGGAGCGAACAGG